rnacentral:rRNA from 1 species
UGGUGGGUAGUUUGACUGGGGCGGUCUCCUCCUAAAGAGUAACGGAGGAGCACGAAGGUUGGCUAAUCCUGGUCGGACAUCAGGAGGUUAGUGCAAUGGCAUAAGCCAGCUUGACUGCGAGCGUGACGGCGCGAGCAGGUGCGAAAGCAGGUCAUAGUGAUCCGGUGGUUCUGAAUGGAAGGGCCAUCGCUCAACGGAUAAAAGGUACUCCGGGGAUAACAGGCUGAUACCGCCCAAGAGUUCAUAUCGACGGCGGUGUUUGGCACCUCGAUGUCGGCUCAUCACAUCCUGGGGCUGAAGUAGGUCCCAAGGGUAUGGCUGUUCGCCAUUUAAAGUGGUACGCGAGCUGGGUUUAGAACGUCGUGAGACAGUUCGGUCCCUAUCUGCCGUGGGCGCUGGAGAACUGAGGGGGGCUGCUCCUAGUACGAGAGGACCGGAGUGGACGCAUCACUGGUGUUCGGGUUGUCAUGCCAAUGGCACUGCCCGGUAGCUAAAUGCGGAAGAGAUAAGUGCUGAAAGCAUCUAAGCACGAAACUUGCCCCGAGAUGAGUUCUCCCUGAGACUUAAAGUCUCCUGAAGGAACGUUGAAGACGACGACGUUGAUAGGCCGGGUGUGUAAGCGCAGCGAUGCGU